UGAUUAGCUAGUUGGUAAGGUAACGGCUUACCAAGGCGACGAUCAGUAGCCGACCUGAGAGGGUGAUCGGCCACAUUGGAACUGAGACACGGUCCAAACUCCUACGGGAGGCAGCAGUGGGGAAUAUUGCACAAUGGGCGAAAGCCUGAUGCAGCAACGCCGCGUGAGUGAUGAAGGCCUUCGGGUCGUAAAACUCUGUCCUCAAGGAAGAUAAUGACGGUACUUGAGGAGGAAGCCCCGGCUAACUACGUGCCAGCAGCCGCGGUAAUACGUAGGGGGCUAGCGUUAUCCGGAUUUACUGGGCGUAAAGGGUGCGUAGGCGGUCUUUCAAGUCAGGAGUGAAAGGCUACGGCUCAACCGUAGUAAGCUCUUGAAACUGGGAGACUUGAGUGCAGGAGAGGAGAGUGGAAUUCCUAGUGUAGCGGUGAAAUGCGUAGAUAUUAGGAGGAACACCAGUUGCGAAGGCGGCUCUCUGGACUGUAACUGACGCUGAGGCACGAAAGCGUGGGGAGCAAACAGGAUUAGAUACCCUGGUAGUCCACGCUGUAAACGAUGAGUACUAGGUGUCGGGGGUUACCCCCUUCGGUGCCGCAGCUAACGCAUUAAGUACUCCGCCU
rnacentral:rRNA from 1 species